GGAGCCUGAUGCAGCGACGCCGCGUGGGGGAUGACGGCCUUCGGGUUGUAAACUCCUUUCACCAUCGACGAAGGUUUUCUGACGGUAGAUGGAGAAGAAGCACCGGCUAACUACGUGCCAGCAGCCGCGGUAAUACGUAGGGUGCGAGCGUUGUCCGGAAUUACUGGGCGUAAAGAGCUCGUAGGUGGUUUGUCGCGUCGUCUGUGAAAUUCCGGGGCUUAACUCCGGGCGUGCAGGCGAUACGGGCAUAACUUGAGUACUGUAGGGGAGACUGGAAUUCCUGGUGUAGCGGUGAAAUGCGCAGAUAUCAGGAGGAACACCGGUGGCGAAGGCGGGUCUCUGGGCAGUAACUGACGCUGAGGAGCGAAAGCAUGGGUAGCGAACAGGAUUAGAUACCCUGGUAGUCCAUGCCGUAAACGGUGGGCGCUAGGUGUAGGGGUCUUCCACGACUUCUGUGCCGUAGCUAACGCAUUAAGCGCCCCGCCUGGGGAGUACGGCCGCAAGGCUAAAACUCAAAGGAAUUGACGGGGGCCCGCACAAGCGGCGGAGCAUGUGGAUUAAUUCGAUGCAACGCGAAGAACCUUACCUGGGCUUGACAUAUACGGGACGGGGCCAGAGAUGGUCUUUCCCUUGUGGCUCGUAUACAGGUGGUGCAUGGUUGUCGUCAGCUCGUGUCGUGAGAUGUUGGGUUAAGUCCCG
rnacentral:rRNA from 1 species